UGCUGCAGAAUUUCGCGGUCUGAAAGAAUUGGCUGCCCAUGCCCUGACUGCAUUAAC
rnacentral:tRNA from 1 species